AAAGCCAGAACCUUGUUGGUGCAUUAAGGAAGGGGAGAAAAUACAACUGUCUACUAGCAGCUCAAGAGGAAUAUUAGAAGUCCAUCUGCGGCGGUUUGUCUGCAAACACGAAAAGAAAACUCAGUGCGAUCAUCUGCUAAGGAAAACAUCUGCUCUGUACUAAACGUGAAAAUGGUGUGACAACUGCCGAAGUUUUGUCACAGAAAUACUUAAGAGAAUUGGAUCAAGACAUCACAGAAGAUGGAGCACUCUCCUCAUGUGUACAUACCAGAAUUUGGAGGCAGUGAGGAGAUAGGGGAGGAGGAAGAAGAGGAGAUCUACCAAGUCAACUCCAACAUGGAACCUGACAUGAUGAGGUCUCAUUAUCAGGUUGAGAAAGAUGGGAGCUCAUUCCCCUGUCAGCACUGUGAAGGACAGUUUGCCAGCAAGCAAGCCUUGGAAAAACACAUGGAGGUCCAUGCUUUGGCUAAUGAUGAGGCACAUUUAUACAAAAACAAUACAAACAAAAUGUCUUUUCCGUCAAAUUUAAGUCAGCUGCAGCAUGAAAAGUCAAAUGCUCUGGAUUCAGAAGAUUCAGUCACGCAGCUUCAUACGUCAUCCACGACUAGCUCUAAUACUUCUCUUUUGUCAGCUGGAGAUCUCGCUGAUCAGCCACACACAUCAGAAGUAUCAGAGGGGCAUCAUGCGUGCAAGUACUGUGAAAAAAUAUUCACAACCCACACCAACAAGAGACGCCAUGAGCGUAGAGUUCAUGAGAACCAGCUGCAGUUCACACAUGUGGAAAAAGCUCAGCUGCCUCAAGAGGAAAACCUUCACAGAACAGUCAGUGAAUCAUCUCAGCAGCAAACACGGCUUGGUGACAAUACACCGCCUGCAGCUGUUGUGGAGAAUGAAGGGGAACAUGAAGAACAUUAUAUGUUAGAUGUCUCUAGCAAUAUUUCAGAGAAUCUGAGUUUUUACAUUGAUGGAAAGAUAGUGUCAACAAGUACAGUCAGUAAAUGUGAAGCAGCUGAGGUCCAUUCUGGGUCUUCGACUUUAGUUGGACUGGAUGCCCUGAUUCUGGACCCCUCUCAUAUCAGCCAGGUAUUAAAUGCAGAUUCAGUUAUAAGCAGUGAAAUACCUGGUCAACCACUUGCCAAGAGGAGAACUGCAACACCACCUCUCUUACCACAAAUUAAAACUGAAUUGGAGUCUGAGGUAGUUGUGUCUUCAUCUUCAUCAUCACUUGUAUCUUCGUUAAUAGAGAAUUUACUUCCUCAGAAUACAGAGUCUACAGUUGUGCAGAAAGAAAGAACAGUGUUUCUGUCGCCAAAGCUAAAACAGCUCCUGGAAAAGCAGGAUGGCCUUAAACCGACACUUGCACUCAUUACAGAUGGCCAGAAGCCAUGCUCACCUGUCUCUAUCUCUGUCCUACCUUCUGGAACAGGAAAGUUUAAGAGAAGAACUGGCUCUCCAACAGGCUCUCCACAACAGACUCCAACAUCUAAUGAAGAGUCAUCAUUGUCAGAUCCGGGAGAUUUUGAUAUUGUAAGUACAGGGCAGGUAGAAAACCAGCAUAGUUCACCUGUGAACCAAACAGUUAGUGACAAUGAUGACGUUACUGCAUCCGUAACGGAGACAGCAGUGAAACCUGUUUUGCCAGACAACUGGCCCCCUGUGACAGGCGGUAAUUCCUGUAACCAACAACCUCUGGAUCUUUCUAAUACAGUCAAAAGACAAGAAGAUGUAGCUUUAGCUAAUGCUGUGCUUGAUUUGAGUUUGCAAAAAAAGAGCCUUUAUGAAUCUGAAACUAUGUCAAAUUCAGGUUCACAGGCUUUUUCCAAUGAAGCAGAACAAAAAGCAGCGAUGGAAAAAUCCUUGAUAAAAAUCGGAAACCAAAACCUAAGUCUUGCAAAUUCUGAGGCUCCUUUAGUCACAGACUUCACCAUAGUAACGGGUUCAAACAUUGUUACCCCAGUGGAGCCUGUUGCAGAUGGACUUGUCUAUGGACUUACCCUACCCCACAGUUCUCUCACUCCAUCAUCUGCCUCCUUGACUCCUGUCACCUUGCAACCAGCUUCACCAUGCACUAUAGCAUUUGCUUCCCCAGCUGCACACACCAUGCUCCCUACUGCUCCUUCAUUAAUCACAGUUUUGGCACCACCGCCACCUAUCUCCACCGCUUCGAGCCAACCAAUCCAGGUAUUGGGCCCAAAUAUAACUACUGAACCCUUGGUAAUCUGCACAGAAAAUGCAUUAAAUUCUUCUGAGAGUGAUUUAACGCCUACAUUUGCCACUACAAACUCUGCAAAUCUCGUCACACUUUCCCAACCACUUGACCCAACACUAAAUUUACCUGGCCAUGUGUUUCUUACUGAUCAAAUAGCUCUCAACCCACCAAUAGUUGAUUCAGCACCUGUCACAGAAGUGCCGUUCACACCCACUGUAACUUUAAGUGAUUCCCUACUCAAUUCUUACAACAUUGCCAGUAACACUGUGUUAAUAGAGUGUACAAUAGCUCUUGAAGCCCCAGGGAAUGUAGUUCCUGCUGCAAUUACCUUACAAGAAAAUACAGCUGAGCCUCCAGCACCUACACAGAUGGUUGUUAAUCACAUAGAACAGCAACAGCUUGUAUCUGUUCCCAGUGCUCAAACUGUGGAACCCACUAUUCUUGUGUCCUCCAUCGCAGAAUCGGUAACUCUGUCCACUUCCACCUCAGUGGUAUCAGAUUGUCCUCCUCUGGGUGAGUCAAACUCUGACCCAGAGCCUUCAGUUGGGACAGGGCCACCACCCACAAAACCUGAGGAAGCCACUGACAGUUCUGCUUCCGCACCUGAAAUCUCAUCUGAACCCGCUCCCUCUCCUGAGAAAGUUAAUGAAGAUGAAUCCUCAAAUGAUCCAGAAAAUGAUGUCCAGGAGCAGACAUUCACCAAGAAUUUCAUCUGCAAUGUGUGUGAUAAGCUUUUCCAUUCAAUGAAGGAACUUAGUCAUCAUGUGGCUGACCACGCUGAUGACUGGCCCUACAAAUGUGAGUUCUGUGUGCUGCUCUUUGGCAAACCCUCUGCUUUACUUGACCAUCGAUCAAGCCUCCACGGUGUUGGGAAGACUUACGUUUGCAGUGCUUGUACAAAAGAAUUUGUCUAUCUUUGCAAUCUGAAGCAGCAUCAGGAAGAAUUGCAUCCAGGCCAGCAGUGUACUCAUACAGAAGAAGAAAAAGGCAAACUAAGACCUCAGAACUACAACAAUUCAGCUAAAGUCAACACAGAUGCUUCAGGACCUGAAGCUCAAGAGGAACUCAAGAAAUUGGUGAAAAAGGAAGAGGGUGAAGUAGACGUGGGUGCUGAAGAACUGUUUACAACAAUUAAAGUCAUGGCUUCAGAUGGAGGCAAAAUCAAAGGGCCUGAUGUUCGUCUUGGCAUUAACCAGCACUAUCCCAGCUUCAAGCCCCCUCCAUUUCCUUACCACAACAGAUCACCUGCUGGUUCGUUGGCUUCAGCCACAAACUUCACUACACACAACAUCCCACAGACCUUCAGUACAGCCAUUCGGUGCACCAAAUGUGGGAAAAGCUUUGAUAACAUGCCAGAGCUCCACAAGCACAUCUUGGCUUGUGCCAAUGCCAGUGAUAAAAGGCGAUACACACCCAGAAAGAAUCCCAUACCUCUACGUCACUUUGCAAAAUCUCAAAAUGGAGUGCUGUCUACUACCAAUUCUACAAAUGGAUUAAAUGCUUCAAACAGAGUCAGUCAGUCAAACAGGUCCAAACCUAGCCAGGAACCACCUGUAAAGUUCAAAGUACUUAACAAAAGGAAGAAAAGGUUUGCCCAAAGGGUCAUGCCGCAGAGGAACAAGUCCGUGCAUUCAUCAAAUAAAAUGUCACCUGUACAGGUGGGUGAGCAGCAGGAAUUAUUUGUGUGUCCACACUGCAGCAGGGAAUUCACAAUGCGUCGCAGCAGAACCAAACACAUGGCUGUUUGCCCCAAGAAACCUAAAGAGGUAAAGAAAAGGAAAGAAUGUGGGAUCUCUGUGACGAAGGAAAACGAUGGACACUUGCAUAGAGGGGUUCCUCAUGGUGAAGAGCAACAACAAGGCUCACCUCCACAUAAAACGAGACUCCAGACGUCCGCCUCUGCAAAGAGGCCUGCCAUCCUACCAGUGCAAACUGUCUUUUCAAGCAAAAGAAGUAAAAUCAUUAUAAAAGAGAGCACGCAGCCAAAACAAGAGACGCCCACCUUGAAUGAGCUUCCCAUUGUUCGCACUUUUAACCCCUCCAUGCGGCAGUAUAGCAGAGUGCAGCACACCGUCAAAGGAGUUCCCAUUAAAAUAACUAUUGUGAAACCUCGGCAGACAGCACCACAGAAGGAUGAAUUGCCUCCCACCCAGAGGAGAGAAGAAGCAACCGGAUCCGUUACCAGCAGUGCUAAGCAGAGUGCUUCAGCCUGAUGACUACACAGCAGGCGAUCGGGGAUCAGCAGGACUCUGCUGUAUGGAUCUCCUUCAGUGACUUUAAAGGGAGAAAACUGGUAACGACACUGUAAACCCAGCAGACUUGUAGGCUGCAGAAUACUGUAUAAUAAACUGGAUUCAGGACACUUACAACAGACCAUGAAGGAUUCUGCAGCAUCCCGUUUUUGACAUGGAGAGAGAGAAGUGAGAGAAAGCACCAUCUCAGCACUGCCACAGGACCCCCGCGCACCUCGACCUCCAUCUCCAGCUUGGCAGGUCCCGCUGGCGCGCCAGCCUCCGGCUCACCUCGAGCCACGCGCUGUCCACCCUUACAAUAAUCACACUGUUGCUGUAACAGUAUAUUCAACACAUCACCACCAAAAAACAACAACAGCAAAAGCAGAGCACAGGUUUUAAGCCAGCGAGGCAUGAUUUUAGAUGCCGGUGAGUCCAUCUCACCUGCAGCGCCAUCGCAGACCACACCCCGCCACAAUAAUAAAGUAUUUUUUAGUUUAAUUAUAAACUUUGUCCUAAUUAUGUCCUGGGUUUUAACUAUUUAAUAAUAAAAAAGGAAACAUCACAAAAAAACACUUAAGGUCAUGAAAAUUAAUUGAGAUUUAGCAAUUCAAUAUGGCAUCCACCUUAUUUAUUAAAAAGUAUCGGUAUUGGUAUCAGCGAUACUAGCCCGUAUUUACUUGGUAUCGGAUCGAUACCAAAAUAUGUAGUAUUUCACACCACUACCUCGUGCCCAGCUAAUAAGAAAAGCAGACAUGGGUGCGCAACUGUGCACGGUGUGUAGUUUAAAUAUAGCAAUAUUGGCCCAUGGGAAGCGACAAGGCCUGUAAGCAGAGUUUGAACUAGAGCGGCGAUGGUUCGAGUCCCAUCUGCAUCCGCUCUGUACUGCCCUCAGUACACUUCAGCCAGCAGAGUCUGUAGAGCUCCAGACUCACUCUGUCUUUUACGUUUUCUUCAAAUCCCUUGUUAACUUUUGGGUGGAAAGGUGUUCAAGGUACCACAAAGCCGACUGGGUCAUGCUCCUCACACUUUUUACGUAGCCCGACUGAUACAGUUUAUCUGCUGAUGGCGACUGACUCGGUCAAGGUAAAUACAACCACGUCAUUAUUAUGAAAAAGACACACAGCUUAUCAUCUUAUAAUUCUGAAAUACCUAAAAUCACUUGUUAUGAUCCAAUGUUGUCAGUGUUUGUUUUAUGUGUGAUUCCUCCCACCAGAGGAUGGCUGUGGGUUUUUUCCCCUUUUCUUUCUUAGGGGGUGGACACCUGGGCGUGCCUGCUGAGUAGUUGGGUGGAGUCUCUUCCUGUCCUCGGAUUGGAUAACUGGUUGAUCACCUCCAGUAUUUAACCACCAGAUGACAACCACUUGGCCUCUCCUAGCCUCCACCAUCCAACAAAGAGCAUGUGUUUUUGAUUAGUUGUUUUGUAGAGUGUCUUUGCCCAUUGAUUUGCAAGUAUAACCAAGUACAACCUUUUGUGUGUUUGUGUGUGUGUGUGUGUCUGGCAUUAGAACCUUAAUCUUGUAAAUAGCUGUAAAUGAAUUUGUAAAGUAGCAAUUGUGUAUUUUUUUUCACCUUGUACAUAUUGUUCACUGCAGCAGCCUAGUAGGCGUGAGAAGCCAUUUUUGUUCAAGUUUUCUCCUGUUUUUUGUUAGAAAGUUAGAUAAGUGAAUUGUCUUUUGGUUGGUUUUCAUUUGUGUAGGAAAGCAUAGGGACCAUUAGGGAGUUUUGUUUGUUAUUUUUGGCAUU